rnacentral:lncRNA from 1 species
GAAACUUCCUCCUGCGCGUGUGGGCGCGUCGAGGCAGUUCUCGGGCUGAAACUCCUGCUCCGGACUCGUCUCAACGUCACGAACACGCUGGUGGCCUUAAAAUCGCGAGAAAUCCAAUGGUUAGAGAGAUAUCGACGAGUUACUAAACGGCCAACACUUAACUAAUCGGAAAAGGUGGUUUGCGGAUUACCUAGGGGGUGAGAUGGCGGCGGCGUGACAGAUCUGAUCUCAGUCGACGGUGGCUGAGACAGUUCACCAAUAUCCCUCUCUGAUGGCUCUAAAUCUGCAGGGGUUCGACGCCUUAGACUUUUUCUGAAUAAAAUAAUAGGCUGCCUCUGUUUAAAUAGGAACUCACCUAGGGUUUCCUGUAAACUGAUUGGGCCUUGUUGGGCCUGCGAAAUUGAGUCGUUACAAUUCUCCCCCACCAAUGGAGAAUUCGUCCCCGAAUUCGGCUCCUCAACCGACUGUGCAAUACUGUCCUGGAAAAACUCUGGAUAAUCAAUCCUCAUCUGACUCUCGGCCUCCCAGUUUUCUUCCUGAAUCCCGUCUCUCCC